AAUUUAAAAUCUGGCAGUCUAUGGCUGUCCGAGUUGUAAUCUAGAGAAGUAAUGCCCGCACUGGACCGUGUACAAGUCUCCUGGGAUGGAGCGUCAUAGAGGGUGAGAAUCCCGUCUCUGACACGGACUACCAGGGUUUUGUGGUAUGCUCUCAAAGAGUCGAGUUGUUUGGGAAUGCAGCUCAAAAUGGGUGGUAAAUUCCAUCUAAAGCUAAAUAUUGGCGAGAGACCGAUAGCGAACAAGUACCGUGAGGGAAAGAUGAAAAGAACUUUGGAAAGAGAGUUAAACAGUACGUGAAAUUGCUGAAAGGGAAACACUUGAAGUCAGUCACGUUGGCCAGGAAUCAGCCUUGCAUCUUUGCCUGGUGUAUUUUCUGGUUGAUGGGUCAGCAUCAAUUUUGACUGCUGGAAAAAGGCUUGAGGAAUGUGGCAGCUCUGGCUGUGUUAUAGCUUCAUGUCACAUACAGCAGUUGGGAUUGAGGAAUUCAGCAUGCCGCAAGGCCGGGUUUAGACCACGUUCAUGCUUAGGAUGCUGGCAUAAUGGCUUUAAGUGACCCGUCUUGAAACACGGACCAAGGAGUCUAACAUGCCUGCAAGUGUUUGGGUGGAAAACCCAAGCGCRCAAUGAAAGUGAAAGUUGAGAUCCCUGUCAUGGGGAGCAUUGACGCCCAGACCAGAACUUUUGGGACGGAUCUGCGGUAGAGCAUGUAUGUUGGGACCCGAAAGAUGGUGAACUAUGCCUGAAUAGGGUGAAGCCAGAGGAAACUCUGGUGGAGGCUCGUAGCGAUUCUGA
rnacentral:rRNA from 1 species